UUUAUAUAAUAAUCUAUCUAUUUGCUCCUUUUGGUAUGCCCUUCCUUUUACUUUCCUUUCUAACCUUGGUAUUCCCUUAGAUUGGUGUGGUGAGUUGGUCCUAAUAUGCUUCAAUAGCUCUAAUCGUAGCCCAUUUUCUGUGUUGUUGUCACAAUGGCUAGUGUUUCAAGGCUCCUUGCAAGACUAUGGUUCUUGCAUUUUGAGGCAAGCUAUUUGGAUGUGAAGCUUGUUUUGUAGGUUGAUGUUAAACAUGGCUAACAUGACCAAUGUAUCUUAAUUGAACCAUUUUGGUAACUUUGUGGUAAUAGGUAGCAAAACUCCCCAAAGUCACAGAGUCUUGCAAUGUCGUGUAAUUGGGAUGCAAUAUCAACUUGAUGAGUUUUGUAAUAUAUUCAUUAUGUCUAUAAACAUUUUAAUUAAAAGUGUA